rnacentral:rRNA from 1 species
CUACGGGAGGCAGCAGUGAGGGAUAUUGGGCAAUGGGCGAAAGCCUGACCCAGCAACGCCGCGUGAAGGAUGAAGUAUUUCGGUAUGUAAACUUCGAAAGAAUGGGAAGAAUCAAUGACGGUACCAUUUAUAAGCUCCGGCUAACUACGUGCCAGCAGCCGCGGUAAUACGUAGGGAGCAAGCGUUGUUCGGAUUUACUGGGCGUAAAGGGCGCGUAGGCGGCAUGACAAGUCACUUGUGAAAUCUCCGGGCUUAACUCGGAACGGCCAAGUGAUACUGUCGCGCUAGAGUGCGGAAGGGGCAAUCGGAAUUCUUGGUGUAGCGGUGAAAUGCGUAGAUAUCAAGAGGAACACCUGAGGUGAAGACGGGUUGCUGGGCCGACACUGACGCUGAGGCGCGAAAGCCAGGGGAGCAAACGGGAUUAGAUACCCUUGUAGUCC